AAAUUUGCGCAGUGGCAGUAUCGUAGCCAAUGAGGUUUAUCCGAGGCGCGAUUAUUGCUAAUUAAAAUAAAACUAACUUUAUCAGUGUUUUAAAUAAAACAAUAUAAAUACAUAAUAUUAAAUAUGACAUCUUA